rnacentral:rRNA from 1 species
UACGGGGGGGGCAAGCGUUGUUCGGAAUUACUGGGCGUAAAGGGCGCGUAGGCGGCCUGCUAAGUCACACGUGAAAUCCCUCGGCUCAACCGGGGAACUGCGUGUGAUACUGGCGGGCUUGAAUUCGGGAGAGGGAUGUGGAAUUCCAGGUGAGCGGUGAAAUGCGUAGAUAUCUGGAGGAACACCGGUGGCGAAGGCGGCAUCCUGGACCGAGAUUGAC